CAGUAGCCGCGGUAAUACGUAGGGUGCAAGCGUUAAUCGGGAUUACUGGGCGUAAAGCGUGCGCAGGCGGUCCGUUAAGACAGAUGCGAAAUCCCCGGGCUCAACCUGGGAAUGGCAGUGGAUACUGGCUCGCUAGAGUGUGUCAGAGGAUGGUGGAAUUCCCGGUGUAGCGGUGAAAUGCGUAGAGAUCGGGAGGAACAUCAGUGGCGAAGGCGGCCAUCUGGGACAACACUGACGCUGAGGCACGAAAGCGUGGGGAGCAAACAGGAUUAGAUACCCCUGUAGUCCCUGUCUCUUAUAC
rnacentral:rRNA from 1 species